AAAAAAGAAAAAAGAAAAAUUUCCUACCUACUAGUGUGCUCUCUUUAAAAGGUGAAAUUGGAAGUUGGUGUAUCUACAAGGGAGAAUUGGAUUAAAGUUUUUAUGUCUUAAAUGCUAGGUUGAGAACAAAGAAAUUAAUUAUGAUGUGGUUGAUUUUUGGGACUAUUGGUGAAUAUUAAUUGUAUUUAAACUAAAAAGAACUAUGAUAUAAUAAGGGGAAGCAAUUUUAGCAUGAAAUGCUAAAGGAAAAGAAAAACAUGUUGAAUGGAGAAGGAGAAAUAAAUGGG
rnacentral:misc_RNA from 1 species